AUGCCUUGGCGUCUACUACCGAUGAAGGACGUGUCUGGCUGCGAAAAGCCACGGUCAGCUGCCUAGAAAGCGUUACGAACCGUGGAUGUCCGAAUGGGGAAACCCGGCGCCUUAGCGGGCGUCACUCCGGUGUGAACACAUAGCACCGGUAGAGGGAACCGGGGGAAUUGAAACAUCUCAGUACCCCGAGGAAAAGAAAACAAACGUGACUCCCUGAGUAGCGGCGAGCGAAACGGGAUCAGCCCAAACCUGCAUGGUGUUAAAGCCUGGUGGCGUUGCCAUGUGGGGGUUGUGGGACUCGAGAGACGGAGCACCAGAGCCGUCACAGAGUUACCAAGUUGAUGCGUAGUGGAAGCGUUCUGGAAAGGCGCGCCGCAGUGGGUAACAGCCCCGUACACGAAACGUAUUCAGCCUCUGCUCGAUCAUCCCAAGUAACGCCGGGACCGUGAAAACUGGCGUGAAUCUGCGAGGACCACCUCGUAAGGCUAAGUAUACGUAGACGA
rnacentral:rRNA from 1 species